AUUGAACGCUGGCGGAAUGCUUUACACAUGCAAGUCGAACGGCAGCACGGACUUCGGUCUGGUGGCGAGUGGCGAACGGGUGAGUAAUGUAUCGGAACGUGCCCAGUCGUGGGGGAUAACGUAGUGAAAAUUACGCUAAUACCGCAUACGAUCUAUGGAUGAAAGCGGGGGAUCGCAAGACCUCGCGCGAUUGGAGCGGCCGAUAUCAGAUUAGGUAGUUGGUGGGGGAAAUGCCAAACAAGCCAACGAUCUGUAGCUGGUCUGAGAGGACGACCAGCCAAAAUGGAACUCAGACACGGUCCAGACUCCUACAAGAGGCAGCAGUGGGGAAUUUUGGACAAAGGGCGAAAGCCUGAUCCAGCCAUUCCGCGUGCAGGAUGAAGGACCUCGGGUUGUAAACUGCUUUUGUACAGAACGAAAAGGUUUCUACUAAUACUAGGAGCUCAUGACUGUACUGUAAGAAUAAGCACCGGCUAACUACGUGCCAGCAGCCGCAGUAA
rnacentral:rRNA from 1 species